UACAGAGGUGGCAAGCGUUGUUCGGAAUUACUGGGCGUAAAGGGCGCGUAGGCGGUUCGUUAAGUCCUGUGUGAAAUCCCCCGGCUCAACUGGGGAACUGCACAGGAAACUAGCGGGCUUGAGUUCGGGAGAGGGAAGCGGAACUCCGGGUGUAGCGGUGAAAUGCGUAGAUAUCCGGAGGAACACCGGUGGCGAAGGCGGCUUCCUGGACCGACACUGACGCUGAGGCGCGAAAGCUAGGGGAGCAAACGGG
rnacentral:rRNA from 1 species